GCUUUGUUUAUCCGGACCUGGCCAGGCUGUUUCUUUUCAAUGCAGGCCUUCUUCUGCAUACAGAAGUACAGACUUGCUGAGCUGAGCCAAAUCUGUCUAUCCAAUUACUGGAUUGAAAAGUCUGACUCCAUGUGUGAAGAAGAAGGUGGAUGGAACAGAUGCCUCACAUCUGAUGAGCUGCUUGGGGAAGACUGUGGUGGGUUGGAUACUUUCAUUUUCUCAGUAAAAACUGUGAAAUCUAACACAUGUACAGGAAAGCAUAUAAAAUAUAUAUGACCUUUAAAGAAUAAUAAUGAAUACACAUAUUGCCAUCGCUAAAAGUGAGAAUAUUACCAAUAAUCUACCAGCUCUGAGACUGUCCUUGAGUGCAUUUCCCUUUCUGCCCUAAGAAUAACCAUUAUGCUACCUUUUGUGAUAUUUGUUCUUUUGCUUUUCUUUGUUAUCACCUAUAUAUAUAUUCCUAAAAAUACUAUUAAGUUUUUCAUGUUUUAAAACUUUAUCUCAAUUUGCCAUAUGUAUUCCUUUCUCUUUUCUUUUGUAAAACAUUAUGGUAGUGGAAUGUGUUCAUAUUAUUGCACAUGGUUGUAGUUCAUUCAUUUUCAUUGCUGGGGAAUAUUCUAUUGUGUGAAUAUACUACUAUUUACUUAUCUAUUCUAGAUAAGUGAACAUAUGGAUAGUUUCCAGUAUUUGGCUAUUGCAAAUAAUGCUGCCAUGGAUAUUUUGAGUGCAUCUCCUGAUUUAGACAUGCAAGCGUCUUUGUACAUACAUGCCUAUGCUGGAUUGCAGGGUUAUGGGAUGUGGAUAUUUUUACUUUUCUGAGUAAUGCUAAACUCUUUUCUCAAAUGGUUGUAUCAAUGUUCAGCGUUACUGACUACACAUUGAGAGAGAGAGAGUUCCUACCUUUUUAUACUUACUGGUGUUCAUCAUCUAGUGGCUUUAUAAUGAUACCUCAGAGUGGUUUUAAGUUGCAUUUCCAAAGAACAGUAGUGAAGUAUAGUAUAUAUUUUUGUUUAUUGAGUUAUUGGUCACUGACUGGUUAUUGGUAAUUUGAAGUUUAUGUACUGUUAAUUACCUUUUCAACUCCUUAACUCUUUCUCCAUGGGGGAAGUUACUGGCUAGGUCUGGGUUGCCCAGAAGCAGAGCUUGCUGCGAAUGAAUGUAUGCUAGAGAUUUGUCAUGGAAAGCACUCAGAGAAAAGGAGACUGAAGCCUGGGGGUGGGGAGAGCACAUCUCACACAUGUGAGAAUAUUUUGCCCACCAUCACUUCCCUAUUCUACUUAAAUAAUAAAUAUAUUAUAUAAUCAUGGUGACUUUUAAAU
rnacentral:lncRNA from 12 species